CACGGGACAUGUGGUUUAUUCGAAGCAACGCGAAGAACCUUACCAGGUCUCGACAUCCCGUUGACCACUGUAGAGAUAUGGUUUCCCCUUCGGGGGCAACGGUGACAGGUGGUGCAUGGUUGUCGUCAGCUCGUGUCGUGAGAUGUUGGGUUAAGUCCCGCAACGAGCGCAACCCUCGAUCUGAGUUGCCAUCAUUUAGUUGGGCACUCAAAGGUGACUGCCGGCGACAAACCGGAGGAAGGUGGGGACGACGUCAAAUCAUCAUGCCCCUUAUGACCUGGGCUACACACGUGCUACAAUGGACGAUACAAACGGUUGCCAACUCGCGAGAGGGAGCUAAUCCGAUAAAGUCGUUCUCAGUUCGGAUUGUAGGCUGCAACUCGCCUACACGAAGCCGGAAUCGCCAGAAAUCGCGGAUCAGCAUGCCGCGGCGAAUACGUUCCCGGGCCUGUACACACCGCCCUGUA
rnacentral:rRNA from 1 species